GAGUGGCAGACGGGUGAGUAACGCGUGGGAAUAUCCCCCUCAGUACGGAAUAGCUCAGGGAAACUUGGGGUAAUACCGUAUACGUCCGUGAGGAGAAAGAUUUAUCGCUGAGGGAUUAGCCCGCGUAGGAUUAGCUAGUUGGUGAGGUAAUGGCUCACCAAGGCGACGAUCCUUAGCUGGUCUGAGAGGACGACCAGCCACACUGGGACUGAGACACGGCCCAGACUCCUACGGGAGGCAGCAGUGGGGAAUAUUGGACAAUGGGCGAAAGCCUGAUCCAGCCAUGCCGCGUGAGUGAUGAAGGCCUUAGGGUUGUAAUGCUCUUUUGGCGGGGACGAUAAUGACGGUACCCGCAGAAUAAGCCCCGGCUAACUUCGUGCCAGCA
rnacentral:rRNA from 1 species